UACAGAGGGGGGCAAGCGUUAUUCGGAAUUAUUGGGCGUAAAGAGCUCGUAGGCGGUUUGUCGCGUCUGCUGUGAAAACUCAGGGCUUAACCCUGAGCCUGCAGUGGGUACGGGCAGACUAGAGUGUGGUAGGGGAGAUCGGAAUUCCUGGUGUAGCGGUGGAAUGCGCAGGAUAUCAGGAGGAACACCGGUGGCGAAGGCGGAUCUCUGGGCCAUAACUGACGCUGGAGGAGCGAAAGCAUGGGGAGCGAACAGGA
rnacentral:rRNA from 1 species